rnacentral:rRNA from 1 species
GAUGAACGCUGGCGGCGUGCCUAAUACAUGCAAGUCGAGCGAACAGACGAGGAGCUUGCUCUUCUGACGUUAGCGGCGGACGGGUGAGUAACACGUGGAUAACCUACCUAUAAGACUGGGAUAACUUCGGGAAACCGGAGCUAAUACCGGAUAAUAUAUUGAACCGCAUGGUUCAAUAGUGAAAGACGGUUUUGCUGUCACUUAUAGAUGGAUCCGCGCCGCAUUAGCUAGUUGGUAAGGUAGCGGCUUACCAAGGCGACGAUGCGUAGCCGACCUGAGAGGGUGAUCGGCCACACUGGAACUGAGACACGGUCCAGACUCCUACGGGAGGCAGCAGUAGGGAAUCUUCCGCAAUGGGCGAAAGCCUGACGGAGCAACGCCGCGUGAGUGAUGAAGGUCUUCGGAUCGUAAAACUCUGUUAUUAGGGAAGAACAAAUGUGUAAGUAACUAUGCACGUCUUGACGGUACCUAAUCAGAAAGCCACGGCUAACUACGUG